rnacentral:rRNA from 1 species
GACAGAGGUGCCAAGCGUUAGGCGGAAUCACUGGGCUUAAAGCGUGUGUAGGCGGAAUGGUAAGUACCUUGUGAAAUCCCACGGCUCAACCGUGGAACCGCUGGGUAUACUGGUUGUCUUGAGCCGGCUAGGGGCGAGCGGAACAGACGGUGGAGCGGUGAAAUGCGUAGAUAUCGUCUGGAACGCCGAAGGUGAAAACAGCUCGCUGGGGCCGCGCUGACGCUGAGACACGAAAGCCAGGGGGGCGAACGGG